rnacentral:rRNA from 1 species
GUGACCUCAAAUCAGGUAGGACUACCCGCUGAACUUAAGCAUAUCAAUAAGCGGAGGAAAAGAAACUAACAAGGAUUCCCCUAGUAACUGCGAGUGAAGCGGGAAAAGCUCAAAUUUAAAAUCUGGCAGUUUUUGGCUGUCCGAGUUGUAAUCUAGAGAAGUGUUAUCCGCGCUGGACCGUGUACAAGUCUCCUGGAAUGGAGCAUCAUAGAGGGUGAGAAUCCCGUCUUUGACAUGGACUGCCAGGGCUUUUGUGAUGCGCUCUCAAAGAGUCGAGUUGUUUGGGAAUGCAGCUCAAAAUGGGUGGUAAAUUCCAUCUAAAGCUAAAUAUUGGCGAGAGACCGAUAGCGAACAAGUACCGUGAGGGAAAGAUGAAAAGAACUUUGGAAAGAGAGUUAAACAGUACGUGAAAUUGCUGAAAGGGAAACGCUUGAAGUCAGUCGCGUCGUCCAGGGAUCAACCUUGCUUUUGCUUGGUGCACUUCCUGGUUUGACGGGUCAGCAUCAAUUUUGACCAUUGGAAAAAGGUCGAGGGAAUGUGGCAUCUUUGGAUGUGUUUAUAGCCCUUGGUCGCAUACAAUGGUUUGGGAUUGAGGAACUCAGCACGCCGCAAGGCCGGGUUUAAACCACGUACGUGCU